rnacentral:lncRNA from 1 species
AUAUAUAUAAUAUUUUUAAAUUAAAAAUUGUAUAUAUUUUUUUAUUAUACAAUAUUAUAAAUGAUUCAAUAACAUAUUUUUUAAAUAUUAAAAACCUAAAAAAAAAAAUAAUUUGAAUAUUUAUGUUGGUCAAUGCCGGUUAAACUGGUCAACGCCGGAUUCCGGCAAAAAUUUUACCGGAAAAAAUGUUCGUGAUGUUGGUG